AUUAGAGUUUGAUCCUGGCUCAGGAUGAACGCUGGCGGCGUGCCUAAUACAUGCAAGUCGAACGCACAGCGAAAGGUGCUUGCACCUUUCAAGUGAGUGGCGAACGGGUGAGUAACACGUGGAUAACCUACCUCAAGGUUGGGGAUAACAUUUGGAAACAGAUGCUAAUACCGAAUAAAACUUCGUAUCGCAUGAUACAAGGUUAAAAGGCGCUACGGCGUCACCUAGAGAUGGAUCCGCGGUGCAUUAGUUAGUUGGUGGGGUAAAGGCCUACCAAGACAAUGAUGCAUAGCCGAGUUGAGAGACUGAUCGGCCACAUUGGGACUGAGACACGGCCCAAACUCCUACGGGAGGCUGCAGUAGGGAAUCUUCCACAAUGGGCGAAAGCCUGAUGGAGCAACGCCGCGUGUGUGAUGAAGGCUUUCGGGUCGUAAAGCACUGUUGUAUGGGAAGAACAGCUAGAGUAGGGAAUGACUUUAGUUUGACGGCACCAUACCAGAAAGGGACGGCUAAAUACGUGCCAGCAGCCGCGGUAAUACGUAUGUCCCGAGCGUUAUCCGGAUUUAUUGGGCGUAAAGCGAGCGCAGACGGUUGAUUAAGUCUGAUGUGAAAGCCCGGAGCUCAACUCCGGAAAGGCAUUGGAAACUGGUCAACUUGAGUGCAGUAGAGGUAAGUGGAACUCCAUGUGUAGCGGUGGAAUGCGUAGAUAUAUGGAAGAACACCAGCGGCGAAGGCGGCUUACUGGACUGUAANCUGACGUUGAGGCUCGAAAGUGUGGGUAGCAAACAGGAUUAGAUACCCUGGUAGUCCACACCGUAAACGAUGAA
rnacentral:rRNA from 1 species